AGUGAACGCUGGCGGUAGGCCUAACACAUGCAAGUCGAACGGCAGCACAGUAAGAGCUUGCUCUUACGGGUGGCGAGUGGCGGACGGGUGAGGAAUACAUCGGAAUCUACUUUUUCGGGGGGGAUAACGUAGGGAAACUUACGCUAAUACCGCAUACGACCUACGGGUGAAAGCAGGGGAUCUUCGGACCUUGCGCGAUUGAAUGAGCCGAUGUCGGAUUUGCUAGUUGGCGGGGUAAAGGCCCACCAAGGCGACGAUCCGUAGCUGGUCUGAGAGGAUGAUCAGCCACACUGGAACUGAGACACGUUCCAGACUCCUACGGGAGGCAGCAGUGGGGAAUAUUGGACAAUAGGCGCAAGCCUGAUCCAGCAAUACCGCGUGGGUGAAGAAGGCCUUCCGGUUGUAAAGCCCUUUUGUUGGGAAAGAAAAGCAGAAGGUUACUACCACGCUGUUCUGACGGUACCCAAAGAAUAAGCACCGGCUAACUUCGUG
rnacentral:rRNA from 1 species